ACCCCCAAAAUAGAUGAUACAUAAUCUGAUCACAAAUGCUUUGAUAUAUAUUAUGAAAUGGUUUGUGUGAGGGGUGAUUUUUUCUCAUUUUUCUCGCUUGGAGGGACCAUUAAGAUACAUGAUCCCCGCUGCUACUGGGUUAAGAAAUCAUAGAAAAUGUGUGUGCCUAUUGCAUGGUACACUUAACUAAUAAGGGCUGAUUCGGCAUGUCAACCCCUUACCUCCGCACGCCUCAUAUAUUAAAUAAAAUGCCUAUCUUAUGAAGUAAAACAGGAAAGGAAUGAAAAAGCAAAGAUCCGGGUAUAUAUAGAUCAUUUCUAACUGAAGUAUAUUUUGGGCAGUCUAAACUUGGGUAGACUGUCGUGUGUUGGGUAAACAGCUCUUUCUUACAACUAAGGAGACAGCUUCAGGGCACAAAAUAAGUAAACAAUUAAAAAAAAGCCCGCUACUCGCUGCCCACAGAAAGAAUCCAAAGAGGUGGCCGAAAGAGAGGUCAAUUUCAGGAGGAGUUGCAGGGGUUACACUGAAAAGGGUGUGUGGAUAUGAAGGGAAGAACAAGAGGAGGAGGACUUAAGACGCAAUACAGUGGAGUUAGUGGCAGGAUUAGGGAUGGUAAUAGGCAGGCUAGGAGGCUAAAUAGGGGAGGACAACGGGGCGAUCUGCACGGUGUUUGGGCUGUAUGGGGACAAAAAGGAAAUGGAGAAAAGUAUGGUAAAGUUGGGAAAAAGUGUUCCUGUCGGCGCAGUGCUGGGAAAAAGUGCACAAAUGUCUGAAUAAGUGAAAUUAAGUGACGAUCUCAGGUUAGAAAAAUACUUUACGAGAGGAGGAGGACCCAAGAAGCAAUACAGAGGCUGGUAUUACAAGACAGUUUGCUAUAUCACAUCAGCUAUUUCUAAAGGUCAAAGAAGGGGUCAGUAGGGUUCUAAUGAGUGUUUCUUUAGGUUCACGGUACAGAGGAAGGGUCACACUACCACCAGGGUCAUAAAACUACUAUUGGAAAUGCCCACAACUCCUACGAAAGCCCUGUCAAAUAUCUGUUUCUAGGUUCAUGGUACAGAGGAAGGGUCAAACUACCACCAGGGUCAUAAAACUACCCCUGGAAAUGCCCACCACUCCUAUGAAAGCCUUGUCAAAUAGGUGUUUCUUCAGGUUCACGGUACAGAGGAAGGGUCACACUACCACCAGGGUCAUAAAACUACCCCUGGAAAUGCCCACAACUCCUACGAAAGCCUUGUCAACUAGGUGUUCUUGGGCGGCGAAAUGUCUCAGGUCAAAGGAAGAAGAAGAAGUGGUCAAAAAUCAAUCAGCAGGGGAAAGUAUCACCAGCAGAAGGCCCCUUGCAGAGCCUAAACUAAUCAUCCGCUUCAAGGUUGACAAAUGGUGGAAGAAUACCAUGACAAGGAAAUGUAGUAGGGUAUAUUGGGUGGGUCAAAAAUCUGCAUCUACGUUCAUUUCAAAAUAUAUUCCCUUCCUGCUAUUUCAUUCCUAAACUGGAUGAUAUUUACGAAACCCAAGCAGCCUUCUCCGGCAUAGUUAACACUUGCAUCAUGGAUUUCUUUCUGGUCCCGGAUUGCAGAUAGUCACGAUUGAUUGCCGGAAGGGAGACAAGCCAAUUCAGGGACUAUUUAGUGUUGAAAAUAGGGGAUGAUAGCUCACGAAAGCGUCGCCUCGUCUGGCUAUGGCCAUGGCACUGUGUUGCGUGAAAUACCUCCUCGCAGAAGAGAGUCCAGGGGGGUCGAGGGGGGUUGAGGAGGAGGCAAAGCUGUUAGGUUGUAAAGUUCGGUUGGGAUAGUUUAACCACGCUCCCGCACCCUAAACCCUCUGUGAGCUAUUUCGCGGCUGCAUCAGCGGUCCCAUCGCCAGAGGAUAUGACACUUUCAUGAAUUAUCAACCCCCAUUUUCAUCUAUAAAUGGUCCCUCAAUUAGAUUCUUUCUCCUUUCCGGAAGUCACUUGAGACUGCACUGCAAUCAGGGACCAACAAGAUAUCCAUGAUGUAUGUAUUAACUGUGGCAAACGUGGCUCGUAGGGUUUUGUAAAUGUUACCCCUGAGCUCAUGCGGGGAGGCAAAAUGUGGUCUUAUGGAGGCGAAGUGUUCCUCGACAAGUUCAGUUCAGCGGCUAGGCGUGGGAUAACCCUCGGCCUCGGUGUUGGGGCUGUAUGGGGGUACCAAGGCAACACAAAAGAAUGGUAACGUUGACAAGUGUUCCUCGCGCUGUGCUGGGAGAAAAGGGAACAGAUGUCUGGAUAAGUAAAUUUAAGGGAUUUUACUUCAAGUUAGAAAAUGCUAUAGCGCUGACAAGGAAGGCGUGUGGAUUAGAAGAUGGGAGGAACGAGAGGAGGAGGAGGAGGACCUGAGAAGCAAUACAAAGCGUUACAGCUCACAAGAAGAAGAAGAAGAAGAAGGCUCCCGCUAAGCUGUUCCUUUCGCUGUGCUAUAGUUCCUGUGUUUUUCCGUGUCUUAAAAGUUUCCCAGAUAGUUUUAAUAUACUUUCCUUUCUUGUAUAUCUUUGUUUCUUUGUUCACCAAAAAGUAGUGAUUCAGCUGUUAUUUUCCGUGUUAUGAGAAGUUACUUGUAAAUUAAAUUUGCUUCUUAUACCUUCAUUUCCUGUACAUUACAAGAGAAAACGUUAUAAUGUUUCCUUGUCAGUCGAUAUGGACAUGGCUAACUCAUUCCCCGAUACCCAUUUCUACAGUUUAAACUUAGCAUGUAAGUUCUUGUUACAGGUAACUCUCGAUUUACGCGAGUAUUGCGUUCUUGGAGAGGUCGCGUAAAUCAAAAACAAUGUAAAUCAAACAGGAGGUAGGUUUCUGUCGAAAAAUAAAAACCGUAUUUUUCAGAGUAUAGCGCACACCUUUUUCUCAUAAAAAUGCCUGAAAGUUUAGCCCUGCGCCUUGUACGCCGAAUGUACAAAUUUUUAAUGAUUUUUUUCUUCUUUGGGGUGUUUUUAAGGGUCUGUUUUUCGUCUUAUCCAAUAACAACAGCAAACUUUCCUUUAUCAUUGUAUAUAAUCCUUCAUAGUCCGUAGCUGUCUCAUAAUAUGUUACCAUAGAAUACAGGGUGAUCUAAUAACUACUAUACAAAAUUGAAAUCGAUGGAGGAUUGCCCCUGCCUUGCUGUUAUUCCGUUUUUCUGUCGGGCGCCAUUUGUAUGAUCUUGAUCUUGAUGUCACAGGUGGCUUGAUUGUAUGACUAAGGAGCAGUACAAGCUACAUAAAAAAUCAUAUUGGAAAAAAAAUAUCCAUGUGUUUAUCAUUAAUAUUAGUGAGAAUAAUGGGGUAAAUAUGAUAUCAGAAACUGUACAUCAUGAGUCUUGUACGAGGAGAUAUUUCGCGCAAUACCAGCCAGGCCGCCAUUUGCAUUGUUUACAAACCACACAACCACACCCAUACAACAAACAGCUGCAUGGCGCGUGUCACCAGAAACGCGUGAAUUGUGUCUUGCCUAGUUCUCUGUCAUAACCUACGAGUGAUGGUGGGAAUAAUAUGCUUAUUCACUUCAUUCAGUGGAGAGAGAGAGAGAGAAAGAGAAUAUCCAUAUCACCGAGAUAUCCACUCAGGCACUCAGUCUCAGCCUCUCUCGUGUGAGGAAGAAAUGAGGGACACCAUGAGUGGCUAGCUAGUAUUGGUACCGGUACCGAGCAGUCUGGUACCGGUAUUGUACCAUAUAGCUAGUACCAUUAGUACCGGUAACUGCCCACCCUUAUUGUUGAGUAGCGUGGCAGCGUGGGUACUGUAUUGUUGUUCAAGUGGCGCGCGGGGAGAACUGAGCUCAGCUGUGUGGCCGCGGCGCUGUGUGAGUCCAGUUGCGUGAGACAUCUGGUGGACACUCCAUAAAAUAUCGCGUAUAAGUGGAAAAAACGUGUAAAUAAUUUUUUUGUUUUUUUGGUUUUGGACCCCGCGUUAUUUCAAAAACGCGUAAACCAAACUCGCGUAAAUCGAGAGUUACCUGUAAAUAUAACUGAUCUUGAUUCUAAUGUUUCCUUGUCACAGUGGAUAUGGACAUGGCAAACUCUUUCCCUGAUACCCAUUUCUACAGUUUAAACUUAGCGUGUUGGUUCUGGCCCUCAUAAUUAAGCAUGUUGGUUCUGGCCCUCAUAAUUAAGCAUGUUAGUUCUUCUUAAAUAUAAUUAAUCUAGAAUCUAAUGUUUCCUUGUCACAGUGGAUAUGGACAUGGCUCACUCAUUCCCUGAUACCCAUUUCUACAGUUUAAACUUAGCGCGUUGGUUCUGGCCCUCAUAAUUAAGCGUGUAGGUUCUGGCCCUCAUAAUUAAGCAUGUAGGUUCUGGCCCUCAUAAUUAAGCAUGUAGGUUCUAGCCCUCAUAAUUAAGCAUGUAGGUUCUAGCCCUCAUAAUUAAGCAUGUAGGUUCUGGCCCUCAUAAUUAAGCAUGUAGGUUCUGGCCCUCAUAAUUAAGCAUGUAGGUUCUAGCCCUCAUAAUUAAGCAUGUAGGUUCUAGCCCUCAUAAUUAAGCAUGUAGGUUCUAGCCCUCAUAAUUAAGCAUGUAGGUUCUAGCCCUCAUAAUUAAGCGUGUAGGUUCUGGCCCUCAUAAUUAAGCAUGUAGGUUCUAGCCCUCAUAAUUAAGCAUGUAGGUUCUAGCCCUCAUAAUUAAGCAUGUAGGUUCUGGCCCUCAUAAUUAAGCAUGUAGGUUCUAGCCCUCAUAAUUAAGCAUGUAGGUUCUAGCCCUCAUAAUUAAGCAUGUAGGUUCUGGCCCUCAUAAUUAAGCAUGUAGGUUCUAGCCCUCAUAAUUAAGCAUGUAGGUUCUGGCCCUCAUAAUUAAGCAUGUAGGUUCUGGCCCUCAUAAUUAAGCAUGUAGGUUCUGGCCCUCAUAAUUAAGCAUGUAGGUUCUGGCCCUCAUAAUUAAGCAUGUAGGUUCUGGCCCUCAUAAUUAAGCAUGUAGGUUCUGGCCCUCAUAAUUAAGCAUGUAGGUUCUGGCCCUCAUAAUUAAGCAUGUAGGUUCUAGCCCUCAUAAUUAAGCAUGUAGGUUCUAGCCCUCAUAAUUAAGCAUGUUGGUUCUUCUUAAAUAUAAUUAAUCUAGAAUCUAAUGUUUCCUCGUAACAAUCGUCAUAUGGACAUGGCUAACUCUUUCCCCUCAAGUGUUAAGUGUUUCAUCAUGGGUGUGUGUCCACGAGGCUGUAUCCCGCGCAUAACAACAUAAAUCACCUCCAAACACCGCCAUUAAACACCAAAAUAAGCUAAAUAAAUCCUCCCCUUAAUGACAGGGCAGCCCUCCAUGGCCUCCGCCGCAACGCCCCUCUAU